rnacentral:rRNA from 1 species
GAGCACGUAGGUGGGUUUGUAAGUCAGAUGUGAAAGCCUUCUGUUCAACGGAAGAAUUGCAUCUGAAACUGCGAGUCUUGAGUGUAGGAGGGGAGAAUGGAACUUCUGGUAGAGCGGUGAAAUGCGUAGAUAUCAGAAGGAACGCCGGCGGCGAAAGCGAUUCUCUGGCCUAUUACUGACACUCAGUGUGCGAAAGCUAGGGGAGCAAACGGGAUUAGAUACCCCGGUAGUCCUAGCCGUAAACGAUGGGCACUAAGUAGAGGGGUUUU